rnacentral:tRNA from 1 species
GGCCUCGUAGCUCAGCGGAUUAGAGUGUCAGCCUCCGAAGCUGAAGGUCGCCCGUUCGAAUCGGGCCGAGGCCGCCA